GAUGAACGCUGACAGAAUGCUUAACACAUGCAAGUCGAUUCAAGUUACCUUCGGGUAACGAGGAUGGCGGACGGGUGAGUAACGCGUAAGGAACUUGCCUCUUGGUCUGGGACAACUGUUGGAAACGACAGCUAAUACCGGAUAUUAUGAGAUUCUCGCAUGGGAAACUUAUGAAAGCUAUAUGCGCCAAGAGAGAGUCUUGCGUUCCAUUAGCUAGUUGGUGGGGUAACGGCCCACCAAGGCGACGAUGGAUAGCCGGCCUGAGAGGGUGAACGGCCACAAGGGGACUGAGACACGGCCCUUACUCCUACGGGAGGCAGCAGUGGGGAAUAUUGGACAAUGGGCCACAAGCCUGAUCCAGCAAUUCUGUGUGCACGAUGAAGGUCUUCGGAUUGUAAAGUGCUUUCAGUUGGGAAGAAGUAAGUGACGGUACCAACAGAAGAAGCGACGGCUAAAUACGUGCCAGCAGCCGCAGUAA
rnacentral:rRNA from 1 species